rnacentral:rRNA from 1 species
AAAGGGUGUGUAGGCGGUUAUAUAAGACAGUUGUGAAAUCCCCGGGCUCAACCUGGGAAUUGCAUCUGUGACUGUAUAGCUAGAGUACGGUAGAGGGGGAUGGAAUUCCGCGUGUAGCAGUGAAAUGCGUAGAUAUGCGGAGGAACACCGAUGGCGAAGGCAAUCCCCUGGACCUGUACUGACGCUCAUGCACGAAAGCGUGGGGAGCAAACAGGAUUAGAUACCCUUGU